AUUUCGGCACUUAGUAGUUUUAAUAAUAAAUGGUUCAGUUAGAUGAUCAUAUUGAUGUUUGAAUAUUCGUGAAUUGGUUUUAGUGGAUGAUUUACUAUGAUGCAUGAGAUUAGAGUUUUCAGAUCUGUGAUUUUUGGUUCUCGUAUUUAUGGAUUUACGCAUCGUGGUUUUCUACCCCUCGAGGUAGCUGGUUUUUAAAAUAGAGUUUUCGUGUGGAAAAUAAUUUUAAAAAGAUUUUCGAAUGGUUUUCAUGGAUGAUUGAAUUAGAGUUUAAAAACAAAGCUUCCGGGUGGGGAGCACUUUUAAAUAGGAUGAUUGUUGUACUGUGCAUUGCAUCAUCCAGCGCCUAAGGAGUGUUUAGAGACAUGCAUCAUCUCUAAGGAUAGUUAGCUGUAUGAAAAUACAUAUCAUAAAAUAGUUGUUGAUUGGUAAUUGUAGAUUGUAGUUGAGAACCUGAUGUAGCUAUUGGUACGCCGUGCAAAUACAAGGGAGACUCUGUCCGAGUGGAUAGAU
rnacentral:lncRNA from 1 species